CACCACCAUGCCACAGGAGCGUCCAGCCAGGGCAGGUUUCUGAAGAGGAGGUUCAAAACCCCACUCUACCAGAUCCUCAGCAGUGGUGACUCAAAGUGGGAGAGAGGAAAAUAAAGCUGUCAUCUCAGAGUCUACUAACCACA